CCUAAUUCGAUGACGAAGAGAGUAGUUAUGUUGAGGUGCCAUUCAGCGAAUCAGGGACGGUGCGAGCCUGAUGCAACCUCCAUAAUGAAGCCCACUUCCGAGAAAUGUGCUUGAAAAACAAAGUAAAGGACAUCGGGGACAACACCCCGUUAACAAAACAGAGGAUCAGCAAUGGUCAAAUUAGAGUGGUACCACGGGCAUCAAUCUCGUCUCUUUG
rnacentral:ncRNA from 1 species